ensembl:lncRNA
GUUCUAUUUGUUGUGUUUUAUUAAACUUAACAUCAUCCUAAUGCCAAGAUGGCACAGGCUUUAUGCCCAGGGAGAGGGUUGAAGCAGUUGAGUAAUUAAGGGGAGCAUAAGAAGGGGGACAAACAACCCAACAGGAAGGAAGAACGAGAGAGAGAGAGAAUAGACCAGACGAAGUGAAACAUAGUUGUGGACAGGAGACAAAAGGAGAGUUAACAAAGUGUAAGAUUAACUGGAUUGACCUGGACUGGCUGACUAACACUGUGCAUCGAACUGUUCUGGAAGAGGACCCACCAAUGUAUGACCUGGGACAAGAAGACAACGGGAACAGCUUUGGAAGUGUCACGUGGCAUUGAGCUUAUCCUCCUACACAAUCGAUUUGAUCAAAAUAAACUGCGCUAACUGUACCCCGUGGCCGGCUUGUCUUCUUGAACAGUGACAUGGAAAUCCACAGCCAUGGGCUUGCCACAGUAUUUAUUAUUUUAAUAUAAAAAUAAGUAUAAUAUAAGUAAAUAAGUAUAAUAUAAUAUAAGCCGCACCACCUAAAUGUAGAACCGGUCUAUAAGCCACAGGCGUCCACGCGGCAGAAAAACGAGUUCUUCACAUUGUCGUCUCCAACGUCUCACCAUUCAUUCAAUGGUUUCAUUGGAUUCAUCAAUGGUGAGCUUCUGUGCAGCCGCUCAGUUUCCUUCUCCGACAGCCAGAUUGGUUGCCCACAGUGGUGUAGUCUAGUAUAUGUUUGUAGUGAGUAUACUGUGCCAGCUGACCGGGGGGGGUUGUGGACGCUACACUACGGCCGACGGGGAGGUUGAAAAGGAACACUUGAGAGCCCUGGACUUGAGAGGAGGAUGCGUCCGUUAGUAAGCGAGGAUUGCUAUAGUUUUGGUCAUCUCCAGCGGUACACGGUGCAUGCGUGACGUGACUGUCCAGAGUAUUUUUCUAAAUAAAGAUAUCAUAUAUUGUAGUACAGCCAAGUCAUUACUUUUUUUCUCUCUACUUUUCAUUGCUGUAUUAAAUGGACCUCGGCCAGCCCAAAUCCUGCAAUUACCGACAGAAACCUGAUGACGGGGAUGAUUACGUGAACGCUGUGGACAACAACGUCUAUGGAAACAUGUGAAAAAACAAAUGAAAUGUGCUUAAAAUUAUAAUUGGAAUUACAAGCAUCUGAUGCCUGCAAUUAAUAAUAAUAAUAAGACGGUUUUGCUAAUCUCUGUAAUCGAACAAACUAUAUUAGAUUUCGUCUUUGAUGAUUUCAUCAAUUAUUUAGGGAAUAUCAAAUUCAUCAGUAAGUGCAACUUCAUUCAGUCAGUGUAAUUUUUUGCUUGUUAGGAAUCAGGAAACAUUUAUUACCAAAAUAUGUCAGACAUACAAGGAAUUUGACUUGGAGAUUGGUGCAUAGCAGCAGACAGUUAGACAAUGGACAACAAGACACAUAAGACGACAUAGUGCAAGAGGAAUAAAAUAUGCUAUGGGUUAGUAUAUAAGGCUAAGUGUUAGUUUAAAAAUAAAUGAAAAGCUUUUUAAAAAUAAAAAAAAGUAAAGUGCACCAGCGAACAGAAACUGACAGGUGCAGGUUUGUGUGUGAAGGGAGUGUCCGGUGGGAUGUCAGUGUGGGGCCCGGGCUCUGUUGAUGAGCCCGACUGCCAAUGGGAAGUACCAUUUAUGUGGCGGGAGGUCUUGGUCCUGAUGGACCUCAGCCUCCUGCCAGAUGGAAGGGGCAAAAACUGUUAUUUCCCAGGUGUCCCCGUUGUUGUUGAUGUUUUCCAAUAAUAUUUCGAGUGAUGCUAAUUUAAGAAACCAUCAGCUGUCUGGUUCCAUAUUAUUCGUUCAAACAAUUCAGCAAAAUAUUUAAAUUCCCUACAGCGCGUACAAUCAUAGAGGCGUUGUGUAUUGAUAUCUCAUAUAAUAACCAAACUGAAUAAGAAAAAUAUUUUACUUUAAUGGAAAAGGCCAAAAUACUGUUAAUAAGUAUCACACUGCGGUGAAGUUGUUGGGUUUGUUUUAUUUUGUCUGGUCUUUUUGUCUUGUCCUUUCCUGUUUUAUUUUGAAAUAGUAACUCUCCUCUCGUUUCAGGUCACUUACUGCUCCUCAUGUGUCACCAGUCUGAUUGUCUUCCCUGAUUCUCAAUUGUGUCCACCUCUUCCCCAUGGCCCUCCAUGUGUACUAAUUGUCUGCGUCUCCCUUUGUCCUGUGCCAGUGUGUUAGUUUAUGCCCAUGUUAUGUUGUCGCUCACUCAAGCUUCG